rnacentral:rRNA from 1 species
GAUGAACGCUGGCGGUAGGCCUAACACAUGCAAGCCGAGCGGCAUUGUUUCUUCGGCUAUGUGAGAGCGGCGUACGGGUGCGUAACACGUGUGCAACCUGCCUUUAUCUGGGUGAUAGCCUUUCGAAAGGAGGAUUAAUACCCCAUAUUAUAUUUAACGGCUUCGUUUAAUAUUGAAAGCUCUUGCGGCUAGAGAUGGGCACGCGCAAGAUUAGCUAGUUGGUGAGGUAACGGCUCACCAACGCUAUGAUCUUUAGGUGGCCGGAGAGGGUGAUACCCCAGACUGGUACUGCGACACGGACCAGACUCCUACGGGAGGCAGCAGUGAGGAAGAUUGGGCGAGGAGUGCAAGUCUGACCCAGCCAUCCCGCGGGAAGGACGACUGCCCUAGGGGUUGUAAACUUCUUUGGAAGAGGGAUAGACCUACACUCGUGAGGGUAGCUGAAGGUACUAAACGAAUAAGCACCGGCUAACUUCGUG